AACGAACGCUGGCGGCAGGCUUGACACAUGCAAGUCGAGCGCCCCGCCAGGGGAGCGGCAGACGUGUGAGUAACGCGUGGGAACGGACCCUUAUCUUCAGGGUAGCUUCGGGAUACUGGGAGUAAUACGGAAGGAGCCCUUUGGUGGAACGAUUUAACGGGUAAGGAUCGGGCCGCGUUGGCUUAGCUCGUUGGUGGGGUAAAUGCCUACCAAUGCGACAAUCCAUAGCUGGUGUGAGAGGCUGAUCAGCGACAUUGGGACUGAGACACGGUCCAGACUCCUACGGGAGGCAGGAGUGGGGGAUAUUGGACUAUGGGCGCAAGGCUGAUCGAGCCAUGCCGGGUGAGUGAUGAAGGCGUUAGGGAUGUAAAGCUCGUUCACCGGAGAAGAUAAUGACGGUAUCCGGAGAAGAAGCACCGGCUAACUUCGUG
rnacentral:rRNA from 1 species